rnacentral:rRNA from 1 species
AGGCAGCAGUGGGGAAUAUUGGACAAUGGGCGAAAGCCUGAUCCAGCAAUGCCGCGUGAGUGAAGAAGGCCUUCGGGUUGUAAAGCUCUUUUACCCGGGAAGAUAAUGACUGUACCGGGAGAAUAAGCUCCGGCUAACUCCGUGCCAGCAGCCGCGGUAAUACGGAGGGAGCUAGCGUUGUUCGGAAUUACUGGGCGUAAAGCGUACGUAGGCGGCUUUGUAAGUCAGAGGUGAAAGCCCACGACUCAAUCGUGGAACUGCCUUUGAGACUGCUUCGCUUGAAGAUGGGAGAGGUUAGUGGAAUUCCGAGUGUAGAGGUGAAAUUCGUAGAUAUUCGGAAGAACACCAGUGGCGAAGGCGGCUAACUGGACCAUUCUUGACGCUGAGGUACGAAAGCGUGGGGAGCAGACAGGAUUAGAUACCCUGGUAG